rnacentral:misc_RNA from 1 species
GAUGAAGAACGUAGUGAAAUGCGAUAAGUAAUGUGAAUUGCAGAAUUCAGUGAAUCAUCGAAUCUUUGAACGCACAUUGCGCCCCUUGGUAUUCCGAGGGGCAUGCCUGUUCGAGCGUCAUUAUAACCCUCAAGCUCAGCUUGGUGUUGGGGCCUGCUGCACUGGCAGCCCUUAAAAUCAGUGGCGGCGCCAUCUGGCUCUAAGCGUAGUAAUUCUUCUCGCUAUGGAGUCCUGGUGGAUGCUUGCCAUCAACCCCCAAUCUUUCUAUGGUUGACCUCGGAUCAGGUAGGGAUACCCGCUGAACUUAAGCAUAUCAAUAAGCGGAGGA